rnacentral:rRNA from 1 species
GACAGAGGUGCCAAGCGUUAGGCGGAAUCACUGGGCUUAAAGCGUGUGUAGGCGGAUGCCUAAGUACCUUGUGAAAUCCCACAGCUCAACUGUGGAACUGCCUCGGAUACUGGGUGCCUCGAGGGUGGUAGGGGUAGGCGGAACUAUCGGUGGAGCGGUGAAAUGCGUUGAUAUCGAUAGGAACUCCGGUGGCGAAGGCGGCAUACUGGACCACAUCUGACGCUGAGGCGCGAAAGCCAGGGGAGCGAACGGG